UUUUUUUUAACUUUAGGAGAGUAUCCAACUCCUGUAGUAGAUACUAGGGGUGCUCCAGCGAUCUAGAUUUUAAUAUGUCUUCAGUACAGAUCAUUUUUGCUUAUUACACCACUAGCAAUCUCUCUUUCAGUAUUAUCCCCUCUUCUACUUCACCAGCCAUGGAGUCUAGUGGAAGUCGAGUCAAUAUAUUUCUUUUAGAUAUUUAUUUUAUUUUAGUUUGCAAUAUAUAUGUAUAGACAGCUAAAAGUUCUGAACUGUAAAUAUUUUCUUUUGAUCUUCACAAAGAAGAUAUAUGUAUAUUUGUGUAUGUAAAUAUGUUGGAUGGGCACGAAGCCAUAUUUUAUAUACCAAAUGUAUUUUAAUA